UCCAUGGCCAUCAUACCAUCAAGAUCAUACCAUCUUGUCUGAUCUUGGAAGCUAAGCAGGGUCAGUCCUAGUUAGUACUUUGGGAGGGUGUUGUAGGCGUAGGUAGGUAGGUGAUAGAG
rnacentral:rRNA from 1 species